rnacentral:pre_miRNA from 1 species
CUUAUGUUCAACGUUUUUACCCCGUAUGUUCCACGUUUGACCGUCCGUCAUAUUUUUAUUUUUUUAUUAAUAGUUUUAUUGUUAUAAGAUAAUAAAACAUGAAUAGUAAUUUAUGUUUGACUAUUUUUUAAAAUUUUUUUUAAAUAAGACGAAUGGUCAAACGUUGGACACAAAAAAUCUUCAUAUAUA